CUUCUGCCCAGACCACCGAAGAGACAACAUGUAAGCUGUCAGACUGAGAAAGCAUAGGCAUGGCAUUUUGGCUUAGGGAAACACAUUGUCUUUAAAGCAAUGCCACGGAGUUGGAAGUCAUCUGUGCAAUCCCGAAUACUCUGAAGCACAGAGAAGGAGUGUGACGAAAUCAACACACCUACAAAGAGGACCCCACUAUUCUGUGUCCAGGAGUCUGGCUGCCACUUACAAGCUCAUAUUUAGUAAACUGGGAGUCGCCAAGCAGUUGGACCAAGAUGAGCAAGGUCUUGAAAGAGGCACAAUUUCAUGAUGGCUUCUGCAUUAUGUCUCUCUGAGUUCUACAGAGGGGAACUGGGGCGAGGGUUCCUUUGGCAAAGUGCUUGCUGUUGUAAAGGUGAGGACCUGAUCACCGAUACCUACAUAAGAAGUUGGGCAUACCGGCACAUGGCUCUCAUCCCAAUGCUGAGGAGGUAGAGACAAAUGGAUCCCUGGCCAUCCGUCUGGCCUCCUCUGUAUUUAGUGAUCCCCAGCACAGGGGACAGCCCAUCACUCUUCCAGUACACAAGGCAAAACAGAGCUGCUGCUGUUGGUCUUUAUGACCCUCCCUGCCAUCUUUUAAUACCGCCCUUUAAAAUCUCACUCCAGGAUUUCACUCUCAUUCUCGGCCAAACAUCCCAUCGUUGAUGAAACAGUAUCCAGGUACGCUCUUGUUCGGAGCACACGCACAUUUAAUAUCACUUUUCUGUUGUUGUGUUUACUUUAUCUGCCUCUUUUUCUGGAUGGACUGAGGGUAAUUUGAGGAAAGUGUACAAGCCGGUUCCUUGCAGAGUGUCUGUUUUUAAUUGCACUGGAAAGCUAAUCCUUCUGUUGAGUAACUGGAACCCCUAAUGAGAGAGAGAGAUCAACAAAUGCUUGUUGCAUUAAGUCGACACCCUUCACCCACUUGGAAGUUUUCCUUUUGGCCAGUCCUGUUGAGGCAGUUUUGGUUCUAUCAGUUGAAACUGUCCUGGUUUUGUAUGUGUUUGAUCAACUUAAAAACAUGUGAAGAAUUUGCUUGCUUAUGUAGCCCGCACACUUGGAGCGAGGAAAAAGAAGGUCUAUAAUUAGACUCGCAAAGUGGUUGAAGACCAAAGCAAUUGAUGAAAGCAAAGCUGAAGGCUUUCUCCCUGUGGUCUGAAAUUAGAAGGGGAUGAUGAAUAUUGUUAUUGCAUUAUUGGACAAUAAAAGACCAAACUUUUGGUAUGCAAUAUUACUAUAGUCUCCCUAUGAGCAAGAUGGCAGCGCUAACGAACUAAAACUUUAUAUAAAAACAGCAACAACAACAACAACAAAAAAACCCCCAAGAUCCAGGCAAGGUGCUAGCUAUACAACAAAGGAAACCUGAGAAGAAUUCAUUUACAUUAGUAGAAUCAUUUGAAAAUGUGCUAAAAGUUUCAAUUCAUCAGCAGCAAAAGCAUAUUAUACUUAGAAAUUCAAUAACAGAACUUGUAUAACAUCUGUCAGGAAAGUACUAUAAUCUUCCUGAAAGACAUAAAGGAGGCAUUCAUAAAUAUAGAGCUGUGCUGUAUUCCUUGGAGGGAUGGCUUACUAUUGCAAAAGUUUCAAGUAAACAUACAGUUAACCUCAACUUUCUAAAGAUGGGAAUUUAAAUAAUAAUGAAAUUAUAUUUUCUUUCAAAUUGUCAAAGUAUAAAACUAUCUGGAGCUAUUUCUUUCUCAGUUAUGUUAGGACUGUAAAUUUUUACAAUUUUUAUUUUGAUGAGGACUUAAAAAUGUGUAGUAUCCCUUGAAACCCCUAAGCCAACAGUUCUGGUUUUAGAAAUAUGUGCUACAGAAAUAAACAUCUUCAGUGACUGAAAUAUUAAUGUGUCAGAUAUGUAAUAAAAAUUGUUCAUAGAA